AGAAAAAGUAGUAGGUUUUGGGUUUUAUUCCCCUUUUACUAACAUAAAUUACAGGCACGGGGAAUGACAUUUGUGGUUUUAAUACAAGAUUUUAAAGUAGGCUGUGUCCCUUCAAAGCAAAUAUGAGCUCAUAAAUACUGUGAGAUUAGAGGUAAGGAGGCCCGACGUGGCAAAGGCUCAGGGUUUAUGGCAUUCCUCAAGACGUACAGCAUGAGAUGUUUUGUGACCUGGCUUUUAUGAAGAUCAAAAGGCUUAAAACUGUUGAGAAGAAGAUUUUCACAUCAUCUAGGGGGAGACACCAAGUUGUCAAAUGGGAGGAGGCUCUUUGAAGUGUGGAGAUAAGGACCUUUCUACCCUUCAGUCAUGUAGGAAAGCCAUUUCCAGCCAGCAGAGGAACGUCUCGUACAGCUGGACUCACUGUGCCCAGAUUCCUCAGACUGGUUGGCAUUGGCAGCUGGGAUACCAUGAUGCCUUGAGAAGUUCCUCUACACAGCAUCUGUCAUGUAAGCAAAAGCUGUGAGCACUGAAAAUCUUCCCAAAGGUGGAUUCUCCUGAGCUGUGAUCCAGUUUCUGUGUGGCAUUCACCAUCAUCACACUUGAGUCUUCCCAGCUGAGGAUCUAUUUCAUACCCUUCAACUGAAAGACACCUG